rnacentral:sRNA from 1 species
UUGACACACCCUAGAAGUCCUCUAUUUAUUAACAUAGUGAGAAUAGCAUGGACCACAGCACAGCAAACUUCUCCAUAUGGCCAUAGCAAUUCUGAUCUGGAUGCGCCAUCUCUAGAGGUGAGAGGAUUAUUCAGUCUCUGUGCCCAUUCAAUUUUUGGUCUGA